CAUUUUUAGUUUGCGUUGGUUGAUUAAAGGCAGGUUACUCUAUUAUAUGUUACAUGAUGCUCAUUAUUGGCGUUUUCAUGUCUAUUUAAGACUUCACAUGAAUAGUAGAUGGACUUGGGUAAGGCAUAUCCCUCAUAGAGCAGUGGCCAGAGUACAGGGUAUAAGCAGAGCGACAGAGUAGCGAACAACAACGACAAAG
rnacentral:sRNA from 1 species